rnacentral:rRNA from 1 species
CCUACGGGAGGCAGCAGUCAGGAAUAUUGCGCAAUGGAGGAAACUCUGACGCAGUGACGCCGCGUAUAGGAAGAAGUUUUUCGGAAUGUAAACUCUUGUCGUUAGGGAAGCGAAAGGACAGUACCUAAGGAGGAAGCUCCGGCUAACUACGUGCCAGCAGCCCAGGUAAUACGUAGGGAGCGAGCGUUAUCCGGGAUUGUUGGGUGUAAAGGGUGCUAAGACGGGAAAACAAGUUAAUUGUGGAAUCCCUCGGCCUAACUCAGGAACUGCAACUAAAACUGUUUUUCUUGAGUGCAGGAGAGGUAAGUGGAAUGCCUGGUGUAGCGGUGAAAUGCGUAGAUAUUAGGAGGAACACCAGUGGCGAAGGCGACUUACUGGACUGUAACUGACGUUGAGGCACGAAAGUGUGGGGAGCGAACAGGAUUAGAUACCCGUGUAGUC